rnacentral:rRNA from 1 species
UGGGGAAUUUUGGACAAUGGGCGAAAGCCUGAUCCAGCCAUGCCGCGUGUGUGAAGAAGGCCUUCGGGUUGUAAAGCACUUUCAGCGAGGAGGAAGGUGGUGAGCUUAAUACGCUCAUCAAUUGACGUUACUCGCAGAAGAAGCACCGGCUAACUCCGUGCCAGCAGCCGCGGUAAUACGGAGGGUGCAAGCGUUAAUCGGAAUUACUGGGCGUAAAGCGCACGCAGGCGGUUUGUUAAGUCAGAUGUGAAAUCCCCGGGCUCAACCUGGGAACUGCAUUUGAAACUGGCAAGCUAGAGUCUCGUAGAGGGGGGUAGAAUUCCAGGUGUAGCGGUGAAAUGCGUAGAGAUCUGGAGGAAUACCGGUGGCGAAGGCGGCCCCCCUGGACGAAGACUGACGCUCAGGUGCGAAAGCGUGGGGAGCAAAACAGGAUUAGAUACCCUGGUAGUCCACGCUGUAAAACGAUGUCGAUUUGGAGGUUGUGCCCUUGAGGCGUGGCUUCCGGAGCUAACGCGUUAAAAUCGACCGCCUGGGGGAGUACGGCCGCAAAGGUUAAAAACUCAAAAUGAAUUGACGGGGUCAUAGCUGUUUCC